rnacentral:rRNA from 1 species
GACGAACGCUGGCGGCGUGCUUAACACAUGCGAGUCGAACGGAAAGGCCCUGCUUUUGUGGGGUGCUCGAGUGGCGAACGGGUGAGUAACACGUGAGUAACCUGCCCUUGACUUUGGGAUAACUUCAGGAAACUGGGGCUAAUACCGGAUAGGAGCUCCUGCUGCAUGGUGGGGGUUGGAAAGUUUCGGCGGUUGGGGAUGGACUCGCGGCUUAUCAGCUUGUUGGUGGGGUAGUGGCUUACCAAGGCUUUGACGGGUAGCCGGCCUGAGAGGGUGACCGGGCACAUUGGGACUGAGAUACGGCCCAGACUCCUACGGGAGGCAGGAGUGGGGAAUAAUGCACAAAGGGCGGGAGCCUGAUGCAGCAACGCCGCGGGCGGGAUGACGGCCUUCGGGUUGGAAACCGCUUUCGCCUGUGACGAAGCGUGGGUGACGGUAAUGGGUAAAGAAGCAACGGCUAACUACGGGC